rnacentral:rRNA from 1 species
GAAAACUCCGGUGGUAUGGGAUGGGCCCGCGUCUGAUUAGCUCGUUGGCGGGGUAACGGCCCACCAAGGCGACGAUCAGUAGCCGGCCUGAGAGGGCGGCCGGCCACAUUGGGACUGAGACACGGCCCAGACUCCUGCGGGAGGCAGCAGUGGGGAAUAUUGCACAAUGGGGGAAACCCUGAUGCAGCGACGCCGCGUGAGCGAUGAAGUAUCUCGGUAUGUAAAGCUCUAUCAGCAGGGAAGAAAGUGACAGUACCUGACUAAGAAGCCCCGGCUAACUACGUGCCAGCAGCCGCGGUAAUACGUAGGGGGCAAGCGUUAUCCGGAUUCACUGGGCGUAAAGGGAGCGCAGGCGGCACGGCAAGUCUGGUGUGAAAACCCGGGGCUCAACCCCGGGACUGCAUUGGAAACUGCCGGGCUGGAGUGUCGGAGGGGUAAGCGGAAUUCCUAGUGUAGCGGUGAAAUGCGUAGAUAUUAGGAGGAACACCAGUGGCGAAGGCGGCUUACUGGACGAUGACUGACGCUGAGGCUCGAAAGCGUGGGGAGCAAACAGGAUUAGAUACCCUGGUAGUCCACGCCGUAAAC